AUAAGCUUCUCCUUCCAGGAGACAGCAAAGUCUCCUCUGCAUUUAGCUUCCCUGGUACAUACACUCUCAGUUGAAGAAUGAGAGAAGAUGAAGAUGAAGAAUGAGUUCCUUCAAACUAAGGAAACUUUUGGUCCACAAGCUGCUGAAGAAAGGCACGCAGACAUAUGAGCCGCAGCCCCCCCUCCCGCAGCACUUUGCAAAGCAAGUGAAUAGCCUCGGGCAGGAGGCUUUCUACACGUUGAACGGUCCAAGGCAAGGAGUAGUGCAGGGCAAAGCACCUGGAGAAAUUGGACCUCGUGGCCUGG